rnacentral:lncRNA from 1 species
GGCCGUUAAUUGAAACCACGUGACACUGGUAGUUUGAAGGGGAAAAACUCAGGAUAAAACGUCCGGCUGAUGAAGACGGUGCUGGAGAGACGUUAUUUCUGCUCAACAUAUGAAAGCUCCACCCACCUCCAGAUGUGAUAGGCCAGCAGGGGUACAUUGAGUCCAAGCGUCAGCCAUUCAGCAGCGCACAGGAACAUAACGCAGAAGAAAACAUGGAUGAGGACGGUGUGAUCACAGGAAAUAAAGUUGAAGAGAGAGUAAGGAAUGGGAUCAGGAAAGGUCAAUGAGUUGGGACUCGAACUCGGGAUGCUCAUGGCACUGUUGCCAUAAAGGUCAG